GAAAUACAAUAACUACUUUCACAUAAUGAGCAGAGUCCCCUUCAAUGGAAAUCUUCAAAACGCUUUGCAAGUUUUAGUCUUUUGAUUUCUGUUGGCUACAGGGUAAGUCACAUGGCUAAUUGCCUGCACAAUGCUUUGAAAAGAUAACCCUUGGAAUUUAGAUUUUUCUAAAAUUUUCAGUAGCCUUUCUCAUAUUUGUCAGCAGUGUCCUUGUGUUUAACUUCCAUGUUUACUUUCCUUGGUUAAGACUUUUCCAUCACCUUCUCUUGGGUGUUUCUUAGGUAUAUGUUAUGUAUGCCUUUUAGAUGGUUGUACCUUACAGUGUAAUAAUUAAUUUUUAGACAAACCUGUUCUGCCUAUUGUUUCAAAUAUUGUUGGAUCCUCUGUCUGUCUAGUUCAUGGCUGAUAUUCUUCACACAAAAUUCUUCUUCCAAAAGCCCAGAAAACAUUUCUAGUUUCACUCAUUCUUAUUACAAAAAUAAGAUUGACAACUUGUGGAUGUGCUCACAGAGGUAUAAUGAGCUCCUUCUGUGCCUGCACCAGGGAUGAGGGCUUGUGGGGUAUGCUGACCACUGGAGAGUGGGGAGGCAAGAGGGAGAACAGAAGGGAGAAGGAGUGAAGUCUUACCUGCUGCUGCUCUCCAUGGAAUGAAGGCCGCCGCCGCUGCUGCUAUAGCAGCAUUGGCUCAGGUGGACGCAGCCCAAAGGCUGGGCUCCUAAGAUCCAUCCCCAUGCCCCACUUGCUCCCCUUGCCUUCAAAUAUGUUACAAGGUAUAGGGCUGUGCCUAGUGCAGCAAAGAUGCCCUGGGCACUGGGGGGAGCAUGAUUUUGUUCAUCCCUUAACUUCCAGGUAGACUGCUGGGUGUGGCACUUCUCUGUCUGGCUCCUGUGUCUGGACAAGAGUGGCACAGGGUGGUGUACACUGUGGCAAAGAUUCCUGGGGUCAGGGGGUGACUCCCUCAAUAGUCAGUGGCAGGGGCUGGUGCCCAGUUGCCCCCAUCCUAGUUAUGCUACUGCCUGUUCCCAGUGCAGGUCUGGAAUUUCUCUGAAUGGUGAGGAAAAAUAGGAAACCAGGUUGUGAUACUUAAAUAACAAGAACCUGCAACAAAUUUGAGCCUGACAAAAGUAAGAGAAAAUCUGAAUGUUGUUCAAUCAGAGAAAUUGAUUUCUGAAAGUGUGUGGAUGAGGUGCUAAAAGAAAAAGGAGAAUUUCAACUGACCUUUUCAUUUUUCUAUAUAUUUUACAGUGUUUGUGAUUUAACUGUACAAACAGACUCCUGAUUUUCUUAAUCUGGAUAAAAGAAUCUCAUAUGGAACUUCCCUUGAAGUUUGGACUUUUGGGUAAAACCUAUCUGCUUCUCAAAUCUGUUCCCAUAUGCAACCCAGUUAUUGAAAUGCAUGAUUAAACCCUACAAGUCUUCCAAAUAGAAGGUGUAAACAGCAGUAGUUAGAGAAAUGGAUUAGAAAUUGCUAAGACCUGGGCACUGCAACUGCCAGCUUUAGAAGUGCUCUGACAGAUCCUGGAUAAGUGGUAAUCUUCUUAAAUGUUUAUAUUUUGCUACAGUAAGCUUCGUUAAUAGGCAAACCCUGUAAUAGGAGGACAUCGCCCAUAACAAUCUGGUUUGGCACUGCAUGUAGCCAACUAAUUUGAAAAGAGACUUGAUGUUUUCAACAGGCUGGGGGAGAAUGGAACCUGAGCUGUGAUACUGAGAAUAUUUUGAUCAGUAGGCACCAAAUUGGACACACAGAACAAACCAUGUCAGUUAAACUUGCUUAAUGGCAGUCCUAGCUUGUUAAAUGUUUCUCUGAAGUAAAAUAGAAAAAGUCAGUGGGAGAAAAUAGCUAGCAGUUGCUCCUGAAUCAGAACUGGAUUAAUGUCCCACCCAGAGCAAAAAACCAUCUGAAGAGAUACUGUUUGUGACGUAAGAUACCAUAACUCCUACUAUAUAACCUGUGAAAAAGGUACCCUGGGUAUGAACCCAACAUUUUUUGGUACCCUUGCACAUGAAAAUGCUUUCUUUUUGCUGGCUAAAUGGCAUAGCUAAAUCCCCAUCAACAUGACUGACCAGGGAAAACUGGGCAUCAGGUGUCCAACACUCACUUUUAAUACUCAAAUGGAGUAUCUGAGAGGAGAGGCGGGACAGGAAAGAGGGGGGAAAGGGGAGUAACAGAAAACCAAGUUUUUGAAGACAGGUCCAGUUCAUUUUAAAUAGCAUACCUUUCCAUCACUCAUGCUUCCACUUCCCAGCAUUAUUUAACAUGUGAAACCAACAUUCACUAGACAUCCAAGAAACGAUAUCAGAAGGGCUUUGGAGAGGGUGGGGGACAAGGUAGAGGUAGUGGCUGAACCUGAGGGAGUAGAAGAAAUGUCUGAAGCUGAGAGAGUGGAAGAAAUGUCUUUAAAUGCAAAAUAGGACAUUUGUUAAUCCUAACUUGAACUGCUAUUAGGGUGGAAUACAUAACAAGGGGCUCCACCCAACAUAUCCUCAUUUUUGAGUAAAUUUUAAGAGAGUUGUAGUGUAAUAUUUCCAAAAUAGAUGGCAGGUGCUUUUCCUGGAGGGAUAAUUGAGCUCCAUGUGAUGUGUUUUUCUUUGUCUGAAAGUAUUCUCCCCCAUUUUCUCUUUAUACCUUCCACUUCACUGGCUUACAUAAUCUUUACAGUAUUUUGGCCUAUUUUGUUUCCUCUGUGGAGGAAUUUGGAGGCCCUUCUGUCCCAAAGGGUUUCAUCUCUUCUUUCAGAAUGAAAUAGGUUUUCCCAUUUGAAGAAGUUGGGCUUGAGCCUGGGACUUGAUAUCCUGCCAACUGGAAUCUGAAAACUGUGUAAAUAGUUUGUUAGGUUGUCUUGUCAGUUUCAGCUAUGUAUCUAAGCUGUUGAUGGAUAUUUCAGCAGAGGGCCAAGUCUGUGCAUCUACUGUAAUGAAAAAGAAAUUAACACCUUCAAUUUAAAAAUGAUUUAAACAUCAUAUCAAUAUCUUCUUUAUGAAUAUUGACAUGAAAAUAACUAUGAAGAUUUGCGGAGACAUCUCUGAACAAAAACUUCAUACCAGCCUUUGACAACUGAGCCCAAUCUCAUUUUAAAGAAAAAUAAUCUCAUGUACCCUUCCUUCAGCACCUCAAUACCUUCAAGAAAAAUGAUGCUGUUUAAUCUUACAUAGAAACACAACACUAAUCCUUUCUUCCUGUUUUUUUUUACCAGACUACAACUCCCCCUAGUCCAAAACAAAUCAGGUGGCAUCCAUACAACCUUGAAGCAAAGGUGUCCAUUAAGUUCACAUUGGUCUGCCUGGUUAAAAGAAAACCAGAGUUCCAUCUAUGGAGAGUUCCAGGAAUUUUGACAAAAAACCCAGAAUGGAACUGGAAAAACUGGAGAGUGUGAACAGUCCCAAGGAUACCAGGAUUCUGGUUUCCUGAUGAAUCAGGCCUUGAAGCAUAGCCUUUACAGUCUCCAGAGCCAUCUCCUGAAGUCUGGGUGCUCUGUAAGGGUGCGUCUGUGUUUGCACAGGCAUUUGCGCAAGGCGGGUGCACAGAAGGAGACAAGAAGGAGCACCCAGCAGGAGAGCAAUGAGGACUCAUAGCUCUGCAGCUAAGCUCCAGAUGCCUAUGGGUGAAACCCCAUGAGAGGAAUCUGCAGCAGAGGAGUGGAAGACUGUCACCUCUGGACCCAGGCAGCAGGAGCCAGCAUCUGCUUUCCCAUUGCAUCUGGGGAACAGAUACGGGGCCCUGGCAGUCUUGGUGGAGGAGGCAGUGGAGGAACAUUCUCCAGCAGGAGGAUAUAGAGGAGGUGGUCCCUGCAACCCCCGCUGGGCAGGCUGGGGGACCAUUGCCCAGGCAGAAGAAGAAACUCCGAGUUAUUGUGGUGGGCAACUCAAUCCUGAGAGGCAUGGAGGGGCCGAUCUGCCAACCAGAUCCUAUGGUGAGAAAGGUCUCCUGCAUGACCUGGAGCAAAGAUCAGUGACAUCACUGAAAAGAUUCCUGAACUCAUCAAGCCCUCUGACUACUACCCCAUGGUCCUUGUCCAUGUGAGCACUAAUGGUGUGGCUGGGAGUAGUCCUGACCGCAUCAUGAAGGACUUCCAUGAGCUGGGGGUUGGGCUUAGGAAGUCAGGGGCACAGGUGGUAUUCUCCUCCAUCCUUCCAGUUGGCAGCAGCCAGAGGCGCCAGGAUGCCUGCAUCAGGGUAGUCAACCAGCAGCUCCAGAGAUGAUGUCUUCAGUAGGGCUUUGGAUUCUACAACCACGACCAGCACUUCCAGGGAGGAGGCUUCCUGGCAUGGGACAAUCUUCAUCUCUCUCCUAGAGGUAAGCAUCUGUUCUCCUUCAGGUUGGCUGAUCGCCUCUGAAGAGCUUUAAACUAGGUUCGAAGGGGGACGGGGAACCAGUGGUCAAUGAGAACCAUGGGUUGGAAAGCCACAAACAAGG